CCUACGGGGUGCAGCAGUGGGGAAUAUUGGACAAUGGGCGAAAGCCUGAUCCAGCCAUGCCGCGUGUGUGAAGAAGGCCUUCGGGUUGUAAAGCACUUUCAGUGGGGAAGAAAGCCUUGGGGCUAAUACCUUCGAGGAAGGACAUCACCCACAGAAGAAGCACCGGCUAACUCCGUGCCAGCAGCCGCGGUAAUACGGAGGGUGCGAGCGUUAAUCGGAAUUACUGGGCGUAAAGCGCGCGUAGGCGGUCUGAUAAGCCGGUUGUGAAAGCCCCGGGCUCAACCUGGGAACGGCAUCCGGAACUGUCAGGCUAGAGUGCAGGAGAGGAAGGUAGAAUUCCCGGUGUAGCGGUGAAAUGCGUAGAGAUCGGGAGGAAUACCAGUGGCGAAGGCGGCCUUCUGGACUGACACUGACGCUGAGGUGCGAAAGCGUGGGUAGCAAACAGGAUUAGAUACCCCAGUAGUC
rnacentral:rRNA from 1 species